rnacentral:rRNA from 1 species
GAGAGUUAAACAGUACGUGAAAUUGUUGAAAGGGAAACGAUUGAAGCCAGUCGUACCUUCGGGUAAUCAGCCUUUCGGGUGCGAUUCUGUGGAGUGUGAGGAGCUUAAACACCUUCAUGUUUUGCAUAUUCGUACUCUUGGGUGUACUUGCCCGUGUGGUUGGUUAACAUCAAUUUUGGUGGUCAUAAAAUGACUGGGGGAAUGUAGCUUCGAUCUUGUAUUGAAGUGUUAUAGCCUUCGGUAGAUGUGAUGAUCGAGAUUGAGGAUUGCAACGGAUACCCUUCGGGGCUACCUGUCUGAUCUCUGAAACGUUGCCUUGAUGUCGAAAGCUUGCUUAUGAUGUUAGGGUAUUACGGUCAAAAGGUUAGAACGGAUUAAAUUCGUUAAGGAUGUUGACGUAAUGACUUUAAACGA